UGGGGAAUAUUGCACAAUGGGCGGAAGCCUGAUGCAGCGACGCCGCGUGAGGGAUGACGGCCUUCGGGUUGUAAACCUCUUUCAGUAGGGACGAAGCGUAAGUGACGGUACCUGCAGAAGAAGCACCGGCUAACUACGUGCCAGCAGCCGCGGUAAUACGUAGGGUGCGAGCGUUGUCCGGAAUUACUGGGCGUAAAGAGCUCGUAGGCGGUUUGUCACGUCGUCUGUGAAAUCCUAGGGCUUAACCCUGGACGUGCAGGCGAUACGGGCUGACUUGAGUACUACAGGGGAGACUGGAAUUUCUGGUGUAGCGGUGGAAUGCGCAGAUAUCAGGAGGAACACCGGUGGCGAAGGCGGGUCUCUGGGCCGUUACUGACGCUGAGGAGCGAAAGCGUGGGGAGCGAACAGG
rnacentral:rRNA from 1 species